rnacentral:rRNA from 1 species
UGCAGUCGAGCGGAUUGAUGGGAGCUUGCUCCCUGAUAUCAGCGGCGGACGGGUGAGUAACACGUGGGUAACCUGCCUGUAAGACUGGGAUAACUCCGGGAAACCGGGGCUAAUACCGGAUAACUCAUUUCCUCGCAUGAGGAAAUGUUGAAAGAUGGCUUCGGCUAUCACUUACAGAUGGACCCGCGGCGCAUUAGCUAGUUGGUGAGGUAACGGCUCACCAAGGCAACGAUGCGUAGCCGACCUGAGAGGGUGAUCGGCCACACUGGGACUGAGACACGGCCCAGACUCCUACGGGAGGCAGCAGUAGGGAAUCUUCCGCAAUGGACGAAAGUCUGACGGAGCAACGCCGCGUGAGUGAUGAAGGUUUUCGGAUCGUAAAGCUCUGUUGUUAGGGAAGAACAAGUGCCGUUCGAAUAGGGCGGCACCUUGACGGUACCUAACCAGAAAGCCACGGCUAACUACGUGCCAGCAGCCGCGGUAAUACGUAGGUGGCAAGCGUUGUCCGGAAUUAUUGGGCGUAAAGCGCGCGCAGGUGGUUCCUUAAGUCUGAUGUGAAAGCCCACGGCUCAACCGUGGAGGGUCAUUGGAAACUGGGGAACUUGAGUGCAGAAGAGGAAAGUGGAAUUCCAAGUGUAGCGGUGAAAUGCGUAGAUAUUUGGAGGAACACCAGUGGCGAAGGCGACUUUCUGGUCUGUAACUGACACUGAGGCGCGAAAGCGUGGGGAGCAAACAGGAUUAGAUACCCU